rnacentral:misc_RNA from 1 species
GAUGAAGAACGCAGCGAAAUGCGAUAAGUAGUGUGAAUUGCAGAAUUCAGUGAAUCAACGAAUCUUUGAACGCACAUUGCGCCCCUUGGUAUCCCGAGGGGCAUGCCUGUUCGAGCGUCAUUUCACCACUCAAGCCUGGCUUGGUGUUGGGCGACGUCCUCUUUGGGGACGCGCCUCGAAACGCUCGGCGGCGUGGCACCGGCUUUAAGCGUAGCAGAAUCUUUCGCUUUGGAAGUCGGGGCCCCGUCUGCCGGAAGACCUGCUCGCAAGGUUGACCUCGGAUCAGGCAGGGAUACCCGCUGAACUUAAGCAUAUCAAUAAGCGGAGGA